rnacentral:rRNA from 1 species
GACGAACGCUGGCGGCGUGCUUAACACAUGCAAGUCGAACGAAAGGACGGGAAGAGCUUGCUCUUUCCGGAAUUGAGUGGCAAACGGGUGAGUAACACGUAAACAACCUGCCUUCAGGAUGGGGACAACAGACGGAAACGACUGCUAAUACCGAAUAAGUUCCAAGAGCCGCAUGGCCCAUGGAAGAAAAGGUGGCCUCUACCUGUAAGCUAUCGCCUGAAGAGGGGUUUGCGUCUGAUUAGCUGGUUGGAGGGGUAACGGCCCACCAAGGCGACGAUCAGUAGCCGGUCUGAGAGGAUGAACGGCCACACUGGAACUGAGACACGGUCCAGACUCCUACGGGAGGCAGCAGUGGGGAAUCUUCCGCAAUGGGCGAAAGCCUGACGGAGCAACGCCGCGUGAGUGAUGACGGCCUCGGUUGUAAAACGUCUGUGAUCGGACGAAAGGCAGAGUGCGAAGAACAAACUAGCAUU